rnacentral:rRNA from 1 species
GUGAGGAAUAUUGGUCAAUGGGCGAGAGCCUGAACCAGCCAAGUCGCGUGAAGGAUGAAGGUUUUAUGAAUUGUAAACUUCUUUUGCAGGGGAAUAAAGUACGGUACGUGUACCGUUUUGUAUGUACUCUGCGAAUAAGGAUCGGCUAACUCCGUGCCAGCAGCCGCGGUAAUACGGAGGAUCCAAGCGUUAUCCGGAUUUAUUGGGUUUAAAGGGUGCGCAGGCGGGUUGAUAAGUCAGCGGUGAAAGUUUGCAGCUUAACUGUAAAAUUGCCGUUGAAACUGUCGGACUUGAGUGUAAAUGAGGUAGGCGGAAUGCGUGGUGUAGCGGUGAAAUGCAUAGAUAUCACGCAGAACUCCGAUUGCGAAGGCAGCUUACUAAGCUACAACUGACACUGAAGCACGAAAGCGUGGGGAUCAAACAGGAUUAGAUACCCUUGUAGUCC